CAGUCGAGCUGGCAUGAAAUCAGCCUCGCAUUUUGGGGUACACAAUUCCUUCUGCGGUGGUGCACUUUUGUAUCAGCUGGUUAACAUCAAUUUUGAUUGUCAUGAAAAGGCUGGAGGGAUGUGGCUCCUUUGGGAGUGUUAUAGCCCCUGGUCUUUGAGGUGAUGUUUGGGACCGAGGCCCAAGCCAGUCCUUUUAUCUCUUUGAGGAGCGAAGGGCGCCGGGAGUUGGGUGAUGCAUGUUCGUUGGUCAGCUUGCUGACUGC
rnacentral:rRNA from 1 species